rnacentral:rRNA from 1 species
UUGCCAUGGAGCCAACCUUGAAAUACCACCCUGGUUAUGUUGGGGUUCUAACUUGAGAUUAACAGAUCUAAGGACAAUGUAUGGUGGGUAGUUUGACUGGGGCGGUCUCCUCCUAAAGAGUAACGGAGGAGUACGAAGGUGCGCUCAGAACGGUCGGAAAUCGUUCAAAGAGUAUAAAGGCAAAAGCGCGCUUAACUGCGAGACCCACAAGUCGAGCAGGUACGAAAGUAGGUCUUAGUGAUCCGGUGGUUCUGUAUGGAAGGGCCAUCGCUCAACGGAUAAAAGGUACUCUGGGGAUAACAGGCUGAUACCGCCCAAGAGUUCAUAUCGACGGCGGUGUUUGGCACCUCGAUGUCGGCUCAUCUCAUCCUGGGGCUGAAGCAGGUCCCAAGGGUAUGGCUGUUCGCCAUUUAAAGAGGUACGCGAGCUGGGUUUAGAACGUCGUGAGACAGUUCGGUCCCUAUCUACCGUGGGCGUUGGAAAUUUGAGAGGAUCUGCUCCUAGUACGAGAGGACCAGAGUGGACGAACCUCUGGUGUUCCGGUUGUUACGCCAGUAGCAUUGCCGGGUAGCUAUGUUCGGAUGGGAUAACCGCUGAAAGCAUCUAAGCGGGAAGCCCACCUCAAGAUGAGAUUUCCCUAAAGAGCCGUUGUAGACUACGACGUUGAUAGGUUGGGUGUGGAAGUGUAGUGAUACAUGUAGCUAACCAAUACUAAUUGCUCGUUUGGCUUGACCAUACAACACCCAAG